rnacentral:rRNA from 1 species
AUUGAACGCUGGCGGCAGGCCUAACACAUGCAAGUCGAGCGGAUGAAGGGUGCUUGCUCCUGGAUUCAGCGGCGGACGGGUGAGUAAUGCCUAGGAAUCUGCCUGGUAGUGGGGGAUAACGUCCGGAAACGGGCGCUAAUACCGCAUACGCCCUGAGGGAGAAAGUGGGGGAUCUUCGGACCUCACGCUAUCAGAUGAGCCUAGGUCGGAUUAGCUAGUUGGUGGGGUAAAGGCCUACCAAGGCGACGAUCCGUAACUGGUCUGAGAGGAUGAUCAGUCACACUGGAACUGAGACACGGUCCAGACUCCUACGGGAGGCAGCAGUGGGGAAUAUUGGACAAUGGGCGAAAGCCUGAUCCAGCCAUGCCGCGUGUGUGAAGAAGGUCUUCGGAUUGUAAAGCACUUUAAGUUGGGAGGAAGGGCAGUAAGUUAAUACCUUGCUGUUUUGACGUUACCAACAGAAUAAGCACCGGCUAACUUCGUG